UACGAAGGGGGCUAGCGUUGCUCGGAAUUACUGGGCGUAAAGGGCGCGUAGGCGGAUGUUUAAGUCAGAGGUGAAAGCCCAGGGCUCAACCUUGGAACUGCCUUUGAUACUGGACAUCUUGAGUGUGGGAGAGGUGAGUGGAACUCCGAGUGUAGAGGUGAAAUUCGUAGAUAUCGGGAGGAACACCUGUGGCGAAAGCGGCUCACUGGACCAUAACUGACGCUGAUGCACGAAAGCUGGGGGAGCAAACAGG
rnacentral:rRNA from 1 species